rnacentral:rRNA from 1 species
CAGGACGAACGCUGGCGGCGUGCCUAACACAUGCAAGUCGAACGGAGUCAAGAAGCUUGCUUUUGACUAGUGGCGGACGGGUGAGUAACGCGUGAGUAACCUGCCUCUGAGAGGGGAAUAACGUUCUGAAAAGAACGCUAAUACCGCAUAAUGUAUCGAAGCCGCAUGACUUUGAUACCAAAGAUUUUAUCGCUUGGAGAUGGACUCGCGUCCGAUUAGUUAGUUGGUGAGGUAACGGCUCACCAAGACCGCGAUCGGUAGCCGGACUGAGAGGUUGAUCGGCCACAUUGGGACUGAGACACGGCCCAGACUCCUACGGGAGGCAGCAGUGGGGGAUAUUGCGCAAUGGGGGCAACCCUGACGCCAGCAACGCCGCGUGAAGGAUGAAGGUUUUCGGAUUGUAAACUUCUUUUAUCAGGGACGAAGCUUGACGGUACCUGAUGAAUAAGCUCCGGCUAACUACGUGCCAGCAGCCGC